UACAGAGGUCCCAAGCGUUGUUCGGAUUCAUUGGGCGUAAGGGGUGCGUAGGUGGCGGGGUAAGUCGGAUGUGAAAUCUCGGGGCUCAACCCCGAAACUGCAUUCGAUACUGCUUUGCUAGAGUACUGGAGAGGAGAUCGGAAUUUACGGUGUAGCAGUGAAAUGCGUAGAUAUCGUAAGGAAGACCAGUGGCGAAGGCGGAUCUCUGGACGGUUACUGACACUGAGGCACGAAGGCCAGUGGAGCAAACGGG
rnacentral:rRNA from 1 species